rnacentral:rRNA from 1 species
UACGGAGGUGGCAAGCGUUGUUCGGAAUUACUGGGCGUAAAGGGCGCGUAGGCGGCAAGGCAAGUCAGGUGUGAAAGCCCCGAGCUUAACUCGGGAAUUGCAUCUGAAACUGCUGUGCUUGAGUUCUGGAGGGGGUAGUGGAAUUCCCAGUGUAGCGGUGAAAUGCGUAGAUAUCAGGAGGAAUACCGGUGGCGAAGGCGGCCUUCUGGACGGUGACUGACGCUGAGACGCGAAAGCGUGGGGAGCAAACAGG